ACUAUUUUGGCAGAUAAAUGUGAUGGUUUUAGAAAUCAUUUAUAUAUAAUUUAAUUAUAUAAAUAGUA
rnacentral:tRNA from 1 species